AUAUAACCUAUAUGUUAGAGAGGGAGAUAGGUAAUCUAGAGGUUAGAGUGGGAGAUAGGUAACCUAGAGGUUAGAGAGGUAACCUAGAGGUUAGAGAGGUAACCUGGAGGUUAGAGUGGGAGAUAGGUAACCUAGAGGUUAGAGUGGGAGAUAGGUAACCUAGAGGUUAGAGUGGGAGAUAGGUAACCUAGAGGUUAGAGAGGUAACCUAGAGGUUAGAGAGGUAACCUGGAGGUUAGAGUGGGAGAUAGGUAACCUAGAGGUUAGAGUGGGAGAUAGGUAACCUAGAGGUUAGAGUGGGAGAUAGGUAACCUAGAGGUUAGAGAGGUAACCUAGAGGUUAGAGAGGUAACCUGGAGGUUAGAGUGGGAGAUAGGUAACCUAGAGGUUAGAGUGGGAGAUAGGUAACCUAGAGGUUAGAGUGGGAGAUAGGUAACCUAGAGGUUAGAGAGGUAACCUAGAGGUUAGAGAGGUAACCUGGAGGUUAGAGUGGGAGAUAGGUAACCUAGAGGUUAGAGUGGGAGAUAGGUAACCUAGAGGUUAGAGUGGGAGAUAGGUAACCUAGAGGUUAGAGAGGUAACCUAGAGGUUAGAGAGGUAACCUGGAGGUUAGAGUGGGAGAUAGGUAACCUAGAGGUUAGAGUGGGAGAUAGGUAACCUAGAGGUUAGAGUGGGAGAUAGGUAACCUAGAGGUUAGAGAGGUAACCUAGAGGUUAGAGAGGUAACCUGGAGGUUAGAGUGGGAGAUAGGUAACCUAGAGGUUAGAGUGGGAGAUAGGUAACCUAGAGGUUAGAGAGGUAACCUAGAGGUUAGAGUGGGAGAUAGGUAACCUAGAGGUUAGAAAGAGAG